rnacentral:sRNA from 1 species
AUGGCUAUGGUUGAUUCUGGAGCUACUAUUAGCGCAAUUUCGGCAGAUUUUUAUUAUGCAAAUUUGCAUAAGAAGGUUACACUUAAAAAGGCAUCUCUUCUUGCAACUGGAGCAAGCGGAGCAUCUUUAAGAGGAAUAGGAACAAUUGAUGUCCCUAUAGAAAUAGGUCGUUUAACCAUGCAACAAACUUUUCAUAUUUUUGAAAAUUUCGCACAUUCUAUUAUUCUUGGUUUAGAUUUCCUAGAUCAACAAAAAGCUAGGCUUAAUUUUGAUGACAAAACCCUUGUUCUACAGUCUGGUAUUACUGAAGUUCCCCUUACUAAUGGUGAUAAUAAUGACAAUAGCAUAUGCUUUAUUUCUUUAGUUAACGAUGAAGUAAUUCCCAGUAGGUCAGAAGUCAUUAUCCCCGUUCAAACUGUUGACAAAAGUAUAAAAUCUAAAUUAGGUAUUAUUGAACCGAACCCAGCCUUGGUUGGUAAACAGAAUAUUGUAGGUGCCACAUGUCUUGUACAAAUAAGAAACAAUAAAACAUUUUUACAAGUUCUUAAUCCUACAAAUGCCAAAGUACGGUUAUCAAAACACACAAAAAUAGGCAAGUUCAGUGAAAUUAUAGAGAACUCGAUUUCAAGUGAAAUCACUGAUGACACAAUAGAAAUAAAUUCAAUAGAUAAGGGUACACAAAAUAAAUAUAAUGAAGCAAAGUACAUCGAAAUAGCUAAAAGUUUAAAUUUCAAUUUUUCUGACUCUGAUUUAACAACAGAACAAAAACAAAAACUAAUGGUAAUGUUAGGUACAAAUAGGGACGUUUUUGCUAUGAAUUUAUCCGAACUUGGUUGUACAGAUCUCCAUCCCCAUCGUAUUGAAACAGGCGACGCGCAACCUGUAAGACAAAGGUUCUACAGGCAAUCACCAGCCGUUAAAGGAGAAGCCAGCAAACAUGUAGAAGAGAUGUUAAAAUACGAUAUCAUAGAACCGUCACAAAGUGAAUGGGCCAGUCCCAUUUGUUUAGUCCAAAAGAAGAGUCCAAAGUCAGCAUCGUCAACACCCAACACGCCACAGUAUAGGUUUUGCGUUGAUUUUCGUCUCCUGAAUACUUUGACGACUAAAAAAGUGCACCCGAUUGUUCAAAUGGACGAUAUUGUUGAUAUGUUAGGCGAGGCGAAGGCGAAAUUCUAUAGUACCGUCGAUAUGUUCAAUGGAUUCCAUCAAAUAAAGUUAGAUCCGGAAACUAAACAUAAAACCGCAUUCACAUGUCACGAAGGAGUCUUCGAAUUCAACCGACUACCAUUCGGCCUCUCUAACAGUCCGCACACUUUUCAGCUUGUAAUGUCCGAAGCCCUCCGCGGAAUAAACUGGAAAAAUGCACUAGUCUACAUGGAUGAUGUACUCGUUUUUUCAAGAACAUUUGAAGAGCAUCUGCAACACCUUACGAUUCUAUUUCAAAAGCUACGGGAAACCAAUCUAAAACUUAAACCUACAAAAUGUACUUUCGCUGCAAAAGAAGUAAAGUUUUUAGGCCACGUUUUAUCAAAAGAUGGAAUUGCUGUUGACACAACCAAGACAGAUGCAGUAAAACAUUUCCUGUUCCCCAAAAUACAACAGAUGUCAGAGCAUUUUUAGGACUUGCAAAUUACUACAGGAAGUUUGUUAAAGGUUUUUCUGAAAUUGCUAACCCGUUACACAGACAGCUUGUGAAAGGAGCUAAAUUUAUUUGGGACAAGAGCUGCCAACAGUCAUUCGAAGAGAUAAAGAAACUUUUAAUCUCAUCUCCAAUACUCGCGUUUCCAGACUUUUCAAAAGAUUUUAUACUCUACACGGACGCUUCACAGAUCGCUAUUGGUUACAUUCUUGGACAAAAAGAUCAUAAAGGCAGAGAACAAGUCAUUGCUUAUGGUGGACGAUCAUUACGAGGAGCUGAAAAGAACUAUUGUAUCAGGGAUCUUGAAUAUUUAGCGUUGGUUGAAGGAGUUAAACAAUAUCAUGUUUAUUUGGCUAGCCGAAAAUUCAGAAUAUAUACAGAUCAUGAAGCACUUAUACACAUCCAGAAGCUCACGAAGGAGAAAAUCACAGGCCGACUUGCAAGAUGGGCUAUGUUUCUACAAAGCUACGAUUAUGAAAUAAUUUACAAAAAGGGAACGGCUAAUGGUAACGCUGAUGCAUUAAGUAGAAGACCAUAUGACAACGAGAUAGCUACUAUUACAACAGCUACAGUCGAGUCGUCAACACAGACAGAAGCCUCUUUCAUCGAGUUAGACCCGUAUGCGUCCAUUUGCGAAAUAACCACAAGUCCAAAAGAAAAAGUAGUAAAUGAUCAACGGACAGAUGAAAAUUUCAAAGAUGUCAUUAAAUAUAUAUUGGAUAAAGAACUACCUGACAAGACCAGACAAGCUAGAAAAACGGUUAUUGAAUCACAAGAUUAUAUCAUAGACGAUGACGUAUUAUUUCAUUUAUACUACCCGAAAGGAAAAGGUCACAGAGCGGAUAGGAUAGUUAAACGAUUGGCAGUACCAUUAACCCUAAGAGACGAUAUCCUAAAGUCAUACCAUGACAGCUUACUCGGUGGACACAAUGGCAUUGAACGUACUUACCAUACAAUACGAUAUAAAUACUAUUGGCCUGGUAUGUACAAUGACAUUCAACAGUACGUACAGACGUGUAUGCAGUGUCAAAAAGCUAAACCUGACGCCCAUAAGCGCCCGACACCACUGCAACCACUUCCUGUGCUGGACGUAUUUAGAAGAGUACACAUGGACAUCUUAGGACCAUUUAGAAAAAGUUCCGGCGACUACACACACGUUCUACUAAUAGUCGAUUCAUUCACAAAAUUUAUGGAAAUACUUCCUAUGAAACAUACAGGCGCGAAAGAUGUAGCUGACCUAUUUUAUAACCAGUGGAUAUGCCGUUAUUCAGCGCCUGAUGCGAUCCUGACAGACAAAGGACAAAACUUCAUGUCGAAUAUAUUGAAGGAGGUUUGCAAUAUCUUCGAAAUCCAAAAGAUAAAUACCAGUAGUUACAGACCCCAAACAAACAGUACAUGCGAACGGAAUAACAAGACAAUAGCUGAAAAACUUCGCACAUGCAUUGAUGCCAACCAGUUAAAUUGGCCAGACAAAUUACCAAGUAUUGCUCAUGCUAUGAACACGUCAGUAUGCACUGAAUCGACACAGUACACUCCGUAUUUCCUCGUAUUUGGAAGAGAAUGCAGAACGCCUAUUGACACAGUUUUAACAGAACCGUCCAAAGUCGGACCAGUCGCUAAGCAGUAUAUAGACAAAGUUACAUGA